GGAAUAUUGGACAAUGGGCGAAAGCCUGAUCCAGCCAUGCCGCGUGUGUGAAGAAAGUCUUCGGAUUGUAAAGCACUUUAAGUUGGGAGGAAGGGUUGUAGAUUAAUACUCUGCAAUUUUGACGUUACCGUCAGAAUAAGCACCGGCUAACUCUGUGCCAUCAGCCGCGGUAAUACAGAGGGUGCAAGCGUUAAUCGGAAUUACUGGGCGUAAAGCGCACGUAGGCGGCUCUGCAAGUCGGGUGUGAAAUCCCCGGGCUCAACCUGGGAACUGCAUUCGAUACUGCAUUGCUCGAGUAUGGGAGAGGGAAGUGGAAUUUCCGGUGUAGCGGUGAAAUGCGUAGAUAUCGGAAGGAACACCAGUGGCGAAAGCGACUUCCUGGACCAAUACUGACGCUCAGGUGCGAAAGCGUGGGGAGCAAAC
rnacentral:rRNA from 1 species